UACGUAGGCAGCGAGCGUUGUUCGGAGUUACUGGGCGUAAAGGGUGUGUAGGCGGUUGUUUAAGUUUGGUGUGAAAUCUCCCGGCUCAACUGGGAGGGUGCGCCGAAUACUGAAUGACUUGGAGUGCGGGAGAGGAAAGUGGAAUUCCUGGUGUAGCGGUGAAAUGCGUAGAUAUCGGGAGGAACACCAGUGGCGAAGGCGACUUCCUGGCCUGUUCUUGACGCUGAGGCGCGAAAGCUAGGGGAGCAAACGGG
rnacentral:rRNA from 1 species